CUCUUUUGCAGUAAAUCUUGCUGCUGCUCACUGUUUGGGUCUACUCUGCCUUUAUGAGGUGUAACACUCAUUGGGAAAAUCUGCAGGUUUACUUCUGAAACCAGCGAGACCACUGAACCAUCGGGAGGAAAAAAAAACUCCAGACGCGCCGCCUUCAGAGUUGUAGCACUCAUCGCGAAGGUCCGCAGUUUCACUCCGGAGCUGGUGAGACCACGAACCUACCAGAAGGAAAAAACUCCGAACACAUCUGAACGUUAGAAGGAACAAACUCCGGACACGCCGCCUUUAAGAACUGUAACCCUCACUGUGAGGGUCUGCGGCUUCAUGCUUGAAGUCAGUGAGACCAAGAACCCACUUACUCUGGGCACACUUUCAUCUCGUUUCCUUUGGUGUUUGAGUUGCAGACUGGUGAACAGAGGCCAAAUCUGGCAGCUACAAUUUGGCCAGUGUGGCAUGAAAAAAUUGAUUUUUGCAGCAGAAGCCCUGAGGCAUGCUGGAGUUUGCCACAGUCUUCCCACUUCUGUCACACCUGGUUUUCUCACAUAUUCGCUUUUGCGUUUGAAUUCAUAAUCUGUGCCCUAGCGGAGAAAGUGAGAACUUUGGGCAGGGGAGGGAACAGGAGCCCUUGGGUGCGACGCAAGGGACAGCAGAGGGCAGUGGUUGGGGGUCCUGGUGCCUCAGAAGGGGUGGUGGUAGCAGGGUUACCACAGGCUCCAGCCUGCUCCGGUGUGGACCUCACACCCUAUGAUGCUAUUCAUCCAUGAAUCCUGGGUCAAGUCUCUCUCCCACCUGGACAUUCUCCCGAAGAAGGGUAGUGGAUACCUCUAAUUUCAGAGCUACAUCUCAAUAGAUGUGUUAACAUCAGCAGCGCCCACGUGGCAGAGUACACCAAAGCUUAAUUGUCUGGGGGGACAGUUGGCCCAAUAGAGAGGCCCACGUGGAAUCCAGGCCUCCCACUAAUGGUCAACAGCAGCAGCUUGCUGCAAGGUGAAUACACUGCGUGGAAAUGUAUCCUCCCAGCUGGCCAAGGCUUCUAGUGGCAGCAGCCCUGGCUGACACAGGGACUACAGCCUUACAGAGGCACUGAGCCAGAAAUGCCCAGCCAAGUGGGCCCCAAAUGCCUGACCCCAGUGAGAGGUGAGAAAUGCAUAUGGUUGUUUUAAGCCGUAAGCUUUGGGGUGAUUUUUUACACAGCAGUAGAUAAUACCUAUCCUUGGAUCCAAUUGCUUGCAGUUCCUUCACCUGGCUGACAGCUGCUGUGGCUGCCGGUGGAAGGCCUCGGCUCCUCUCAUGUGGGCUCUCUGUUGGGUCAAGUGUGCUCCUGGACAGCUGAGCUUUAGCGUGCACUGUGGCCUGUGGGUGCUGUCGUGGCCACUUCCCAGAGCGCGAGAGUCACCCUCUUUGAGAGUCAGGCGUGGCCCCUCUUCAGAGGCGUCCCUCAGCCCCCUCGUGCCCUUCUGCCUGAGCCUCCUGCCUCUCUGCCACAGCCUCACCUCCUCUGACCCCUCCAGAGCCCUCCCCUGACCCUGGGCUCACCCUGUCCUUGCUGUGAGGAGGUGAAGACUGGCUGUGUCUGUCCCUGCCACCUCCGUGCUCGCAUGCCCAGCUUCCUUGCAGGUUCUGCUGCUCAGUGAAGUAACAAGGGCU
rnacentral:lncRNA from 1 species